GAUUACUUGUACCUUUUGCAUAUACUACUUGUACACAUAAGAGUUCUAAGGCUUAUUUUGGUUAUAUUGAACUUCUCUGACAGUACUAGAACUAUUUUUUUUGUAUUUAUUUAUUUGAAUCUCUAAAUUUUUAGUGUUUAAGAUUAACAAGUUAAAAUAUAUCCAAUACAUAAUUUUUGAAAUAACAAACGCCUCGCAUACUUGAUGCACACGCAUCACGCAUUACGCAUCGCACAUCGGCUUUUGGGAUCAAAACACAUCGGAGCACAUCACACAUUUUAAAACCAAGGUCUAUUAAUUCCCAUUUGUUUUUUGUUUAUUAGUCAUUUAAUACCAGUUAGUAUCUUCAGGUUAUGCAGCUUAUAUAUACAAAUUCUGGGUCAGGUUUACUUGUGCUUGCUUCCAGUGGCAUUCAUAAACUGUGGAAGUGGCAACAAAAGUCAACUGCAUCUAUCGUCCCCCGGUUGUGGCAUCCUGUAAAUGGGGCUGUAAUGUUUAAUGAUGUAAAUGAGAGUAAACCCACUGAAGAGUCGGCGUCAUGCAUUGCUUUGUCAAAGAAUGAUGCUUAUGUCUUGUCUGCCUCUGGUGGGAAAGUCUCCCUGUUCAACAUGAUGACCUUCAAGACCAAAAUCAGGCUUAAAGGUCACCAGAAACAGAUUACUGGACUUGCAUUUUCAGAGGCUUUAAACUCACUGGCCUCGUCUGGAGCUGAUGCUCAGCUAUGUAUCUGGAAUAUUGAUGGAUGGGGGAAGUUGAAAUCAAGAAGCUUACAAUCGCCACCCGGCUAUACAUCCUCACUGGUAGGAGAUACUAAAGUUCAAUACCAUAAGUAUCAACUCAACCUCCUAGUUGUACAUGAAAGUCAUAUUGCUAUAUAUGACCCUGAUUUGGUAUGUUUGAAAUUGUGGUCUCCUAGAGAACCUCUAUCUGCUCCAAUUUCAAGUGCCACAUACUCAUCUGACGGCCUACUAAUAUUCACCGGAUUUUCAGAUGGUGCUCUUGGCGUUUUUGAUGCAGAGAGUUUGAGCCUUCGGUUUCAUGUAUCACCUUCUGCCUACAUUUCACCAUCAGUUUCCAGCAGCAACAACACUGCAUAUCCUUUGGUUAUUGCAGCACAUCCAUAUGAUUGUAACCAAUUUGCUCUUGGAAUGAGUGAUGGUUCAGUUCAAGUCAUUGAGUUCGGCGAUGCAGAUCCCAAGUCCGGCAGUUCGGCACCUCAAGAAAUCGAUACCUUAGCAUCAUCCAAUGCUUCAAAUUUAUCGUUGAACAGUCAACAAUUAGAAACGGUCCAGACGAUGGUACAGAAUAUGAGAAUAUAAGCUUGUUGAUGAUGAUGUUUUACCCAAAUCACACCAUAAGCAUAGUAAUUGAUGACUUCACUGAAAUAGGGUGCUUUUGCAAGUAUAGUGGAAAGGAAAAAUGACAACUCGUAAAAGUCCAAGAAUAUUAAGGAUUAAAGCAAAAAGUUUUUCAAACACAAAAUCAAAUCCAGACAUACUUGAUGACAGGGUUCUGAACACAGUGAAGAAACAUGAGGCAAAAAGAGAAAAAGAAAAGAAGCUAAACCGAAAAAGACAACAAAACAAAAAAAUCAAAAGACGACUGAAGCGGGUACGAAGAAAGGGAAGACAAAAAAUGUCAGGGACCCUUUGCUUUUUAGCAUAAGAACAAGUCGUCUCGAAGAAAGUUGCACGAAUGUGUAUAAUCUUUGAAUGAAAAACAAAGAAAGAUAGUCUGCAAAAUGGGAUUUGGCAAAAUGUUAUCAUUAAAGAUCGAUACAAUCCCAGGAAGCUUAGCAUACUUUGUGGUUGACCAUUUCGAUCCCAACAAAAUGGAAAUAAGAUUUGGAAGGAUUGCUAUCAAGGUAGAUGAAGAAGCGAUACACCAAUUCCUAGGUCUUCAAAUCGUGGUUUUGAUGUGUUACCCUUUAAGCCACCCAAAGAGAACAACACAACACUUGGAAAAGCUUAUUAAAAGGCAUAAUGACAAGUUGACGAUUAAAGUGAAAAAUAUUUUCGAAAAGAUAACUUUCGGAGAUGAUAAAGAGGGUUUUAUGUUUAAGCCUGAUUUCAUUGUAUUGUUUGUUAACACAAUGGUCGAAUGUCAUUUUAACGGAUUAUGCAAAGCUGGAAUCGUUGACAUACUGAAUGAAGAUAUGGACUUCUCAAAGAUAGAUUGGUGCAAAUAAAUUGUUCACAUUAUCAAAAGAUGUAAAGAUGGGUGGGUACAAAGGGACAUGUCUUGCUACUUUUGCGGCGCACUAACUAUUUUAACGAUAGUGUGACAUGUAAAGGAAUUAAUGAAGAGCGAACAAUUUCACGACUAGAAUAUUGGACGACGCAAAGGCUGCAGCUGAGAGAAGACAUGGAGAUUGAACAAGGGGGGUUUGGAAGAGGAGAUUUCAGGGGGUUAUUUGUUGCUGAUGCUGAGGCAAGUGAAGAAACUAACUUGGAGAAAACAGAAACAGAAGAAAGUGAAGACAAUGGACCAGGUUUGCCAGAUCCAAACAACUUGGAGACACAUUUAAGAGAGGUUGGUACACAUUACUACUGGAUUGAAAUGAACAAGGUCAAAUUUAAGAAGGCAGUGGAAAAGGUGUUGGCAAACUUCCCAAAAAGAGAGGAAGUAAAAUAUUUUGUAGAAAGUUACAAGGAAAAGCUCAAAAAGUUUUUCUAUUAGAAAGAAGAUGAAACAACACCGCCACCACCAACAACAACAAAUGACGAACCUCUUGAACUAACUAUACCAAAAGGAACUGAAGCUCAAACACCUAUACAAAAGGUUGAUAUCGAUGGAACAGAAGACAAAUGCAACUCAAAUCAGAUAGUAUCCAGUCAACCAGGUUUCAGUUUAGGAAUAAGCCUUAUACAAGUUCCAUUUGAAGAAAACUACACAUAAGUGGAUGUUGAAAAGCAAAAUGCGAAGGAUAUAACAGAAAGACCGCAUAGAAUCAAACAUCCAACAUAUGCAUCAAAAUCUCCGUAUUUGGUAAGAGUAGUUGAUAUUUGCAAACCAUUAACCAAAGAAGAGUUGAAGAUCUAGGAUUAUUUGAUGGAAGGUUCAGAAAAACAACAACUGAUUCAAGAAGACAACCCUGAAAAGGAAUGUGAUGGUGAUACGUAAAAAGAUGCAUGCACAUUAUGUCAGGAAGCAAUGGAGAUUGAAACUGAUUUUGGGUAUGCAUAAUCAAUUAAAGACUAUAAAGAAGCAAUUUAAUUAUGCAUAUAUGUGUUGUAAUAUUGGCUUUGGGAGUCUUUCAAAAAAAAUAGGAACACUAUAAAGAAGCAAUUUAAUUACGGAUAUAUGUGUUGUAUGUUGGCU